rnacentral:rRNA from 1 species
CUUGGGAAAUUUCAUCGUGAUGGGGAUAGAUCAUUGCAAUUGUUGGUCUUCAACGAGGAAUGCCUAGUAAGCGNGAGUCAUCAGCUCGCGUNGACUACGUCCCUGCCCUUUGUACACACCGCCCGUCGCUCCUACCGAUUGAAUGGUCCGGUGAAGUGUUCGGAUCGCGGCGACGGGGGCGGUUCGCCGCCCCCGACGUCGCGAGAAGUUCAUUGAACCUUAUCAUUUAGAGGAAGGAGAAGUCGUAACAAGGUUUCCGUAGGUGAACCUGCGGAAGGAUCAUUG